rnacentral:lncRNA from 1 species
UCAGAAAUAAUUUUUAAACUGUAUUUAAUAUUCUCAUAAGGCCACUUCAUUCCUAAAAGUGUACCAAGAUAAUGCUUCAAUAGUGAACAUAGUUAAUUCUUAAUUUUUUUUUUUUUUUUUUUUUUUGGUUUUUCGAGACAUGGUUUCUCUGUAUAGUCCUGGCUGUCCUGGAAACUCACUUUGUAGACCAGGCUGGCCUCGAACUCAGAAAUCCGCCUGCCUCUGCCUCCCGGAGUGCUGGGAUUAAAGGCGUGCGCCACCAUGCCCCGCUAAUUCUUAAUAUAUUAAAAAUAUAUGAAAACUCGGGAUCCUUCCUUCAAGUGUGCACACACUUCAGUUUCCUAACCUUACCUCCGAAAAUAUUGUUUUACAAAACUAAACCCAUAGGAAAAAGAUUAACAUGGAUUCUACAUAUAUAUGGAUGUCAGUAGCCAUGAGUAUAGGCAGGUAUAUUAGCCAAUUAUCUGAAACAAUCAGACUACACAAGAAAUGCAGAAAUGGUUUCUAGUAUAUGCUAGGCCUAAAGUUCACCCAGGAGUUGUUCCAGUGUUCUGGCUCUGCUCUGGUCUGAUGAGCUCUGCUACUGUGAUUACCUCAGCUGAUUACAUCAGCUCAAGAAAGGUCAGUUCAGCCACCAGCAGCAGUCGGCAUGAUGCUUGUUGGCCAGCUCAACACGUUUGCAACCUAGGUCCAGGGUAGAUCCUGGGAACCUUAUAAAAGCGCUUUUCCCAGGUACAGUAGGUAUAGACGCUAAGUGUUAUUGCCGACACACAUUUUUAUGCACAAAAAUGUAAGCUCUUUAUACAAAUCUUUAUACUGGACUUCUUAAGGAUGGAAAUAAUUCUGGAACUUUGUAGUCCAAGUCUGCAUUCCUAAUGAGUGUGAAAAUUAACACCCAGUAUAGCACAGUAGCCUUCCCUGUGACUCUGACCCUUCCAAUGUUUUCUUUUGUGUUUAUAAUCAUGGCCCUGUCUCCCCAAAUAUACCAACUUUUGCCUGUAAGUUCCCUAGGACAUCUAUUUCACUGUGUCGUUUCCUUCCCUCUUUUGAAAUGAAGACACAGGCUCCACACAUUCGUCCUUUCCAUAGAGCAGGUAUAGGACCAGGUGCAAUAAAAAAAAAUGGCCUUGAGUAUCGGCCGAGAUACAAGGUGUACCCCAUCUUCCCUGGCCCCUGGGUCUCUUUCCUGUGGGAGUGUAACUGAGAAGUGACAGCUACAUCUUAGACGUGUCAGUAGCACAUUUCAUUACCAGGGUCUGUACCUCAGAGGUAGAGCCAGAUCUGGAGCUGGCCAUCUGGUGUCUUCACUCCUCACAACUUUUUUUCGUUCAUUUGGAAAACUCAGAAAGUGGGUUCUAAAAUACAGGGUGUUCUCCAGUGUCUGACCUUAGCUCAAGCUAAGUUAGCCCUACCUCCUGUUCCUACUGAAAACUGUACUUUUGAAAAUAAGUAAAAUAAAGUAUGUACAAAGAACUGGGUGGUGUCAAAUGAAGAGUAAAAUGUUUCCCAAGGACCCUAGCUCCUGCCAUUGAGUAAUUUAGAACUAAAAUAUGACCAUACUUGACCCUCUCAAGCAUAUGCAGAUCUGCUCUGUAGAAAUACAGUGAACCUACAGAAAUACUCUUAGAGAACACUUAAUAGGAAUCUCUUUAUUUUUCAUCACAACUGCAACAGUUUUCUUAAAUAAAGUUUAUUGUCUACUGUU